AGUGGGGAAUAUUGGACAAUGGGCGCAAGCCUGAUCCAGCAAUGCCGCGUGGGUGAAGACGGCCUGCGGGUUGUAAAGCCCUUUAGGUGGGGAAGAACGAUGCCGGGUGAAUAGCCGGGUGUUAUGACAUUACCCACGGAAUAAGCACCGGCUAACUCCGUGCCAGCAGCCGCGGUAAUACGGAGGGUGCGAGCGUUAAUCGGAAUGACUGGGCGUAAAGCGUGCGUAGGUGGUGGUGUUAGUCAGCCGUGAAAGCCCUGGGCUUAACCUGGGAAUGGCGGUUGAAACGGCGCGACUUGAGUGGGUUAGAGGACUGUGGAACUCCUGGUGUAGCGGUGAAAUGCGUAGAGAUCAGGAAGAACACCGAUGGCGAAGGCAGCGGUCUGGGACCACACUGACACUGAGGCACGAAAGCGUGGGGAGCAAACAGGAUUAGAUACCCUGGUAGUCCACGCGGCAAACGAUGAGCGCUAGACGUCGGAUGGGUGACUGUUCGGUGUCGAAGCUAACGCGCUAAGCGCUCCGCCUGGGGAGUACGGCCGCAAGGUU
rnacentral:rRNA from 1 species